AUGCAUUUAGGUUAUCUGGUAAACUUUCUCACUUCCAAUGAGAUUAGGUGGGUUCGAGUCCCACAAUGCAUA
rfam:Monosiga brevicollis mitochondrion, complete genome.